CUCACAUCUCCUUUUCUACAGUCCCAGGACUACUGUCACAUGCAAAUGACUAAAUAUCUAGACGGAAUCUAGAUGCGGUGCUUUGUGAGCAAGAGAGAGACUCGGCACCACCUAUACUAACACUCAGGAUACAACAAUCUACUCGGUUUCCCCAUGUCUUCCCUUGCAACAGCUGGAGGGACUUCAGUGGUGCUCAACGUGUAAGAUCUGUGGGUCUUGUGGAAUAUCUUUCUUUCAAAUUCUCGCUGCUCCACCAACGAUGGGAAUGUGCAGUCAUAAUACUAUAACAAGAAAAAAGAGGCUGCAACAUUGGAGAGAUGGGUAACUAAGGGUGUGUUCACAUGUUCAGGUUUUAUUAUUAUUGCAAUUAAAAGCCAUGAACAGAUCAUAAAUGGAGACACCUAUAAAGGAAAGACUAAGACUGCUGA